UCUGUGGUACCUGCUACUGGAGAGACACAGGCUUGUGGAUCACUUGAGCUUAGGAGUUUUAAGCUUCAUUGUGCUAAGCCAACUGGGUGUCCAGAUUAAGUAUGACACCAAUAUGAUGAGCUUCCAGGAAUGAGGGGCAAUGAGGCUGCCUAAGGAAAGGCAAACCAGCCCAGCUUUGAAAUGGAGCAUGUCAAAGCUCUUGUGUCAAUCAAUAGUGGGAUCCGACCUUUGAGCAGCCACUGUAUUCCUUCCAGUCUGAGUGAGAUGGGGAUACCCAAUCCA
rnacentral:SRP_RNA from 1 species